UACGUAGGGUGCAAGCGUUGUCCGGAAUUAUUGGGCGUAAAGAGCUCGUAGGCGGUCUGUCGCGUCUGCUGUGAAAACUCGGGGCUUAACCCCGGGCCUGCAGUGGGUACGGGCAGACUAGAGUGCGGUAGGGGAGACUGGAAUUCCUGGUGUAGCGGUGAAAUGCGUAGAUAUCGGAAGGAACACCUGUGGCGAAAGCGGCUCA
rnacentral:rRNA from 1 species